GACGAACGCUGGCGGCGUGCUUAACACAUGCAAGUCGAACGGAAAGGCCUGCUUUCCCUUGUGGAUUGCGGGUACUCGAGUGGCGAACGGGUGAGUAACACGUGAGUGAUCUGCCCCCAACUUGGGUAUAAGCCUGGGAAACUGGGUCUAAUUCCCGAUAGGACUGCAGGGUGGUGCCUGUGGUGGAAAACGAUUUUCUAGUGGUUGGGGAUGAGCUCGCGGCCUAUCAGCUUGUUGGUGGGGUAAUGGCCUACCAAGGCGGCGACGGGUAGCCGGCCUGUGAGGGUGGACGGCCACAUUGGGACUGAGAUACGGCCCAGACUCCUACGGGAGGCAGCAGUGGGGAAUAUUGCACAAUGGGCGGAAGCCUGAUGCAGCGACGCCGCGUGGGGGAUGACGGCCUUCGGGUUGUAAACUCCUUGCGACCGCGAGGAAGCCACCUGGUUGGAAGGGUGGUGACGGUAGUGGUAGAAGAAGCACCGGCUAACUACGUG
rnacentral:rRNA from 1 species